GACGAACGCUGGCGGCGUGCCUAAUACAUGCAAGUAGGACGCAGUUGCGAACGGGUGAGUAACGCGUAGGUAACUGCCUAUUAGAGGGGGAUAACUAUUGGAAACGAUAGCUAAUACCGCAUACUAGUAGAUGUACCUGCGUUGUAUUAGCUAGUAGGUAGGGUAAUGGCCUACCUAGACGACGAUACAUCUCCGACCUGAGAGGUUGAUCGGCAGCACUGGCACUGAGACACGACCCAGACGCCUACGGGAGGCAGCAGUAGGGAAACUUCGGAAAUGGGGGGAACCCUGACCGAGCAACGCCGCGUGAGUGAUGAAGGUUUUCGGAUCGUAGAGCUCUGUUGUUAAGGAAGCGGUACUUAACCAGAAAGGGACGGCUAGCUACGUGCCGGCAGCCGCGGUAAUAC
rnacentral:rRNA from 1 species